UGGGGGCGCGCCUUCUGAGUGCGACAACCAGUUCCAUUCCGACGACAUGCCCGUUGUGGCAUUAUCGACCGGGGUGGUACAACAAUGGGAACAUAUGCCACAAGGAGAUAACUAUCAAUGGCAAUGGGAGGAGUGUGAAGGCGAAGGUGGUCGACGAGUGCGACUCGACAAUGGGGUGCGACAAGGAUCAUGAUUUCCCGCCACCAUGCCCGAACAAUAUUGUUGAUGCAUCGAAAAGCGAUUGGGGGGAGAUGGAGAUCUUCUGGUCUGAGGACUGAUGGCGUUUCUGAAGAUUGGUCCAUGAACUAAUACCAAAGAGCUUGUGAGAAGAAUUAGCAAGUUCUGUCUUUCCAAAUUUCCAUAACAGAACUCAAGAAAAUAAGAUUUGCCUAUUCAUCAUUAUGUAAUGAACAACAUGAUGUGGGGCUAGUUGUAGUUUAAACAUAGCAGGAACGACAUGUUAGAAGACUUGAUGGGAGGGUGUAUGAAUUUAUCUUUAUAUUACCAUCUCUUCUGAGUACAAGAACAACUAUCUGCAA